GAAGUCUUCUUCCACGCCACGCGUCCCCGCGGCGACGGAAAUCCCACUUUCCUCGCCUCGCCGCCGUAACAAACAAAUCUUUCCUCUUUUCUUCUUCCUCCUGCUCCCGGUCUGCCCGCCGCUAACCCCUACGAGCAGGCAACCCCUCCAGCCCCAAAGACAUACCACCCCCCAGGGCCUCCAGAUCGGAGUUGGCGAGUCCCGGGCCCUACCACACCUGCUGCUCCGAGUGAGGCGGCCGGGUUGGGGGUUGGUCGCUUCCUGGCUGGCCGCCCACGACCAGUUCUUGAUCCCGGACUGCUUCAAGCGGGCCGGGUCUGGUCGUUUCUUGGGUUGAACUGAUUGGUUGCUGCUGACUUGGUCGAUCUCCUCUUCUUCCAUUGCUGCUUCGCCGUGUCGGCUGGCCAUUGCAGACAAGGUGUUUGUUUGGCGGCAGCGGGGGCUGCUGAGCUAGGCUGCUCGCUGGCUUCUUCCUUGGUGUUCGGCGGUAAGCCAGGUAGGUAGAUCUGCUCGGAGGGACGGCCAUUCGGCAGUUGCCGUAUCAAAGCUAGAUAGACAGGCAGAUCUUGAGAGACGCCGAUCACUGUUCUGCCGCUUGGACGGACCCUGUUGAUUCGUAGCUCUCAAGCUUUACCAUGCUGAGAAAUCCUUGCUGAGUGUGGAUAAACUUCACAUAGGAGGUUUCUGAGGCCGAACCAGGCGCUUUUGACUUGUGAGGGCUGAGGAUCAGUAAUUAAUUAGAUCAUGUGGAAACCGUUCAGGCAGCUCAUGCCCAAAGAGCAUUCCGGCCCUUCUGGCGGCCUCGAGGGCCGAACCAUCGAUGUCGGCAAUGUGAAAGUGCACGUCCGGGAAGCCAUUGCCGAGGGUGGCUUCUCGUGCGUGUACCUCGCCCGAGACCUGACCAACCCGGCGAAGCAGUACGCGCUCAAGCAUGUCAUUGUCCAUGACAAGGAGUCGCUGGACCUGGUGCAGAAGGAGAUCACGGUGAUGAGGGCGCUCAAGGGGCACCCGAACGUGGUCACUCUCGUCGCGCAUGCCAUACUGGAUAUGGGCCGUGGGAGGGAGGCACUUCUGCUGAUGGAGUUCUGCGAGAGAUCGCUGGUUUCUGCCUUGGACACUAGAGGUACUGCAGGGUUCUAUGAUGAGGAGCAGGUUGCUCUCAUUUUCCGGGAUGUUUGCAAUGCGGUCUUCGCGAUGCACUGCCAGACACCACCUGUUGCUCACAGGGACCUAAAGGCUGAAAAUGUGCUUCUUGGUGCUGACGGGGCUUGGAAAUUAUGUGAUUUUGGUAGUGUAUCAACAAACCAUAAGUGCUUUGAUAAACCAGAGGAGAGGGGCAUUGAAGAAGAUGUCAUCAGAAAACAUACAACUCCUGCUUAUAGGGCUCCUGAGAUGUGGGACUUAUACAGGAGGGAAGUUAUUAGUGAGAAAGUAGAUAUAUGGGCUCUUGGAUGUCUCAUGUAUAGAAUCUGCUACUUAAAAUCAGCUUUUGAUGGAGAAUCAAAGCUUCAGAUCCUCAAUGGGAACUAUCGUAUCCCUGAAUUACCGAAGUACUGUUCUUCCAUUACAAGUCUGAUCGAAGAGAUGCUUCAGUCCUCUCCAGAUGCCAGACCAGACAUUACACAGGUAUGGUUUCGUGUUAAUGAGUUACUUCCUUUGGAGCUGCAAAAGGAUUUACCUGAUGGAUCCCCAUCUGGAUCAGCAUUUGAAUUGCAAACUACUGAAGAUGAAGGACCCUCUCCAUCAUGGUCAAGAGACAAUGUGAGAAGUACACCUCCGAAAGGCCCUUCCAGUUUGAGGUCACAAGUUCCUGUUGAGAGUAAGGGUUCUGCAGGUGCAUUUUGGUCAACUCAACAUGCACAAGAACUAGCUUUUGCGGAUGACAAGGGGUCAGUUCUAGAUCAAGAGCCCAUAUAUGAUGGCAUAACAAAGCAACCUCAGGCAAAGAACCAGAACACGACACGGAAUGCAUACAGACAGUCUCUUUCUGCUUCUGUUGAUAGUUCUCCUGGGGAUUUUGAAAUAAGGUUUUCUCCAAAUGGUUCAGAAUAUGGCCUAGAGAAAACCCAAAACACUAAACCAGAUAACAAAACCAGUGCACAGACUGCUACUUUUAGCUCCUUUGUGGCAGACUUUGAUAAUGUUAAGGUGAGCUCAGAGGACAAUGCCGGCAGUUUAAACACGACAAGUAAAUUGAAAGAACAACAGCUGGAGGCCGAAGUAACUUUACUCAAGGAGCAAUUGAAGAUAGCAAACUUGGAGAAGGAAGAAAUUUCACUGAAGUUUGAUAGAUUGUCAGCCAUUUGCUCCUCUCAGAGGCGGGAGAUACAGGAACUUAAACAAGCUCUAGCCACAGCUUCUGCACCAGCGCCAGUUAAGGAGUUGAAAGAAAAUUUGAAGGCUGAAUUCUCCCCACCCAGCACAAGCCUUGACACUCCGCCAAGGGAGAAGAUUGCAGGAACCCCACCAGAGCUCCGGCAAGGUCUAUUUACAUCAAGUCCAGGGACACCAAGCCCAGAUCCCAAGCCAUGGUCCGCUUUUCCUGAAGAGCCGAAAGCUCAAGCAGUUGUAAAAUGUGCCCGCCCGAGGUCGGUCCGAACUUUAAGGGCAUCACAAAGCAACAAAACCGGCUCGCUUAGUCAGUCAAAAGCAAACUCUGGUGCCGUCCCCUUUGCCUUCGGUCAAGAUAGCUUUAAGGCUGUACCUUCUGGCACCGUGCCUUCUGAGAUGUCAAAUUUGGGGAAUGCUUCUCAGUCCCUCAACACUCUGAAGGCUGAAGUGGAGAAAGAUGCACCCUACCAACCAGCUGGAUGGACUGGGUUUUAAUGUGCUAUCGCCAAUAAGGAUAUUUGGUAUCUGAUGAGACUAUACUCCUAUAGAAUUACAGAAAUAUGGUCCAUCCACUGUAUCAUAAUCAUAUAAAUUGUGUGGUGUUGAAAGGGAGCAAAAUGAGCCCAACCUAGGAGUGCCAGAAUUGACGUAGGAUGUAGCACUAUCAAUGUUUGGACACAGCAUGUACACAUACCAAGGUAAUACAUUGUUAUCUUUCGAGACUUUUGAAAUAAUUAUUUUAUAGUAAUAUGCAAUGUCGAGAAUACUGUUCUAUUUUGGGGUCAACACAUACAUCUUGCAAGCAUGAGAAUCCAUCUUAUUCGUCAGGUUUCCUUGCAUUGAUGAUGUAACCUCAUCCUGCAAGCACAAAAAAUCACACGCAGGAAAAGGGGGUUGAAGAACAGUUUUGUAUGCAAAUCAGAGAAUGUUUUGUGGUUUUAACCAUGAGGCUCAUAUGAUUAGACAAAGUGCUUACUGUCCACAGAUCAUGAGCAUCUACAACAGCUGAUUGGUUUAGACCAAUGUUGCUCCAACUAGCAGUAAUAGAUGCUUCAGCAGGCCCUCUGUUCCACAGCACAAGAGCAACUCUCCCUCGACUUAAGCGACCAGCCCAAACCUAAGCCCAAGUUAAUCAAGUAUAGAUGAAUUAUACUAAGUGUUGAACAUAACAUGGUACUAUGAUUUUUGCCUACUACAUGAUACUAUAAAUAAAAAAGCUUAUGUUAUAUUCCUUUUACUUACUUCUAGAUCUCCAUCUUGUUGCACUUUACGCCCUUGUACCCCAAGUUUGUCUAAUGAUGAAUCGGCAAAGCUUAGUACCAUCUUUAAAUUUUCACAUGACCAUUUUGGAGAAAUGACUCUACCUUGAUUAACUGCAAUGACAUUCUGAUUGGUGAUGAUUUCCUUGGUUUCAGCGCUCAUUGAGCUGAUAUCGCAGCCAAGUAUCAGAGGAGCCUAGUUGAAUCCAGAUCAACAACAUAAUCUUGUGAAAAUUCUUGCCUAACAAUGCUGUUCUGUUGGUUUACUUUUUUUUAUCUCUCAUGCAAUGAAAGUCACUUCAUCAUUACCUUGACUAGAGCCCAUAUGCUGAAAUGAGAACGGUACUCUUCUAUUGUCAUCCCCCCGUUUCCUACUUCCAGCAUGUCUGGGUCUGAAGCAGAAACAUUCAAAGAGAUCACUGUGAAUUGUCAUCACAAGCACAAAAAAAAUAUUGUUGGGAACAAAAACCCCAGAUCCUACAUCCGUCUUCCUACACACUUGCGCAUGAUCAAAAUUUAUCAUAGGCCUACAGAGACUAACCAUUCCAUCCACCAGGCCCUGCAUAAGGUGCCCACUUGUCGUUCUUGUCAGCGUUGUCCGUCAUGCUGCCCAAUUUGCAGUAGUAUUUCAGGAUAGGAAUUAGAAUCUCCAUCUAAACUUUGCAGAAGUUUGGAAGGGGCAGUAAAAGUUCUCCAGGAUGUAAACUUGUUCACCUUUCCCAUGUGUUCUUGAUGUCUUCUGUUGUCCUCCAGCUGUUUGCAAAGCUGCCUGCCCAUGUCGCUGGAUCAUCCACACCCCUGCACAUCAUUGUUGUUUUUUCUCAAACAGAUGAAUGGAAUUCGAACCCUCCCUUUUGGUCUGUUGAAAAGCAAGAAUCAGUUACCAUUCGCAAAGGGAGAAGAAAACGUCCCUUCCAGAAUUCAUAAGGGCUUCACUCAUCCUGUUAUAUCUGCAUUUUUGUUGUGAAUAUGUCAAAAUAUCUAAAUCCGGAUGAAAUUUGACAAGCUUCUAAGUUAUGUAGUUGUAAAGGUUACCUUGUUAGUGGGCUGAUGUUUUGGUUGUUGCAGUUGUCAUACUUCAGGUAGUCAAUCCCCUUGUAACACAACAAUUUAGAAGAAUCAGUUUUUCUCCUGCUUUGGAACCCCUACCAGGAAAACCAUUCUCGACAUGUGUAAGUUUUAGAUGAUCUAAUGAACAUUUUAAUUGGUUUACCCAAGCUGCCAAAGUUCUCGCAUCUUGGUCUUCGUAUCCUAGCGAACCGGGCUGCAGUCUGCUGCAAGUUCGCAGUCUGAAAAGAGAGAGUGGUGUGAUUUAAGCAAGGGAGAGAUCCAUGUGGACUGGGGGGACUUGUCACGUGUUCCCAGUCAUAUUAGAAACAUUUUGACUGGCUAAUUUUCUGCGGGUUCUCUAUAAAGCGCAUACCCUGCAUCGCCGUAGAGUCCAAGUUUGAGCCCUUUCCCGUGCACAUAAUCUGCUAAGGCCCUCAUUCCUGAUGGAAAUGCUGUUCCAUUUGCAGCUAGAUUGCCCUGUAAAAUAACAGUCGGUCUUUUUAACGACUGAACGAAACCUAUGGAAAUACGCCAUUCUAACAUUGCAGCUGAAAAGCUUAUGCUGGUUUCACAUGACUGAGGAUCAAUAAUGGAUUUUAAAAUUUGUUUUGCUCUUUCUAUUUACACACAUAUCAUCUCUUCUAUUAACAUGUACUACUAGUCACCCACCUGGGAGUCUCUGUCAUGAGAUGCCCAACAGUCGUCUGCAGUUUCAAAACAAAUAUAUCCACUGUGAAUAUUGCAGGCCUCAUUUCUAAACAUGAAGAGUUGAAAAGGGGGAAAACCAAAGCGAGCGAGAAACGCGAAGCGAUUACCUAAGUUGAUAUACUCAUAUCCCAGUUUCGCAAGACCAGUAUCCACCAUGGCAUCAGCUACACAAACACAAUGUGUUUUAUUUAUUUUUUGCAGCAAUGCAAGGUUUGGUUUUCCUGGCUAAGAGAGAGCAAGGGAGCACCAUCCUUACCUAUUUUUCGGAUUAUCACCUCAUCUAUCUUGCAGCCGAAGUGGUUCCAGCUAUUCCACCUGAAUACACCGUGCUGUCAGUUCAGCAAGACUUCAUUGUUGGAAAUAUUUCAUGUUCGGUUUAGAGGGGCUUGAAGAGGAUUCGGGCCUCUUCGAAAUAUCAUAGGAAUAUGAAACUUGUAGGAACUGAGAUGUCAUGUAUUUUAAAUCCUAUGAAUAGGAAUAGAAAAAUAGAUGUCUGUUGGUUCAUAUCAUAGGAUUUUUUUCCAUUGAGUCUAGGCUAAUGUUUGUUUUCCUAAGAUGUGCAAGAUGGUAACAAUUCCUCCGUAGAAAUAUGAUUCUAUUCUUACAAACCAAAGGACUAUAAAAGAUUUUUUUUCCUUUUGAAAA